rnacentral:rRNA from 1 species
AACGAACGCUGGCGGCAGGCUUAACACAUGCAAGUCGAACGGGUGUAGCAAUACAUCAGUGGCAGACGGGUGAGUAACACGUGGGAACCUUCCUAGGGGUACGGAACAACUCAGGGAAACUUGAGCUAAUACCGUAUACGUCCGUGAGGAGAAAGAUUAAUCGCCCUUAGACGGGCCCGCGUCGGAUUGGCUAGUUGGUGGGGUAACGGCCUACCAAGGCGACGAUCCGUAGCUGAUCUUAGAGGAUGAUCAGCCACACUGGGACUGAGACACGGCCCAGACUCCUACGGGAGGCAGCAGUGGGGAAUCUUGGAAAAUGGGCGCAAGCCUGAUCCAGCCAUGCCGCGUGAGUGAAGAAGGUCUUCGGAUUGUAAAGCUCUUUUGCCAGGGACGAUAAUGACUGUACCUGGAGAAUAAGCCCCGGCAAACUUCGUGCCAGCAGCCGCCGUAA